rnacentral:rRNA from 1 species
AGUGAACGCUGGCGGUAGGCCUAACACAUGCAAGUCGAACGGCAGCACAGUAAGAGUUUGCUCUUACGGGUGGCGAGUGGCGGACGGGUGAGGAAUACAUCGGAAUCUACUUUUUCGUGGGGGAUAACGUAGGGAAACUUACGCUAAUACCGCAUACGACCUACGGGUGAAAGCAGGGGAUCUUCGGACCUUGCGCGAUUGAAAGAGCCGAUGUCGGAUUAGCUAGUUGGCGGGGUAAAGGCCCACCAAGGCGACGAUCCGUAGCUGGUCUGAGAGGAUGAUCAGCCACACUGGAACUGAGACACGGUCCAGACUCCUACGGGAGGCAGCAGUGGGGAAUAUUGGACAAUGGGCGCAAGCCUGAUCCAGCCAUACCGCGUGAGUGAAGAAGGCCUUCGGGUUGUAAAGCCCUUUUGUUGGGAAAGAAAAGCAGCAGGUUAAUACCCCGCUGUUCUGACGGUACCCAAAGAAUAAGCACCGGCUAACUUCGUG